GUGCCCAGAUCUAAGGAAUAGCCACUGGAAACGGUGAGUAAUACCUUAUACGCCCUUCGGGGAAAGAUUUAUCGGAUUUGGAUCGGCCCGCGUUAGAUUAGAUAGUUGGUGGGGUAACGGCCUACCAAGUCUACGAUCUAUAGCUGGUUUUAGAGGAUGAUCAGCAACACUGGGACUGAGACACGGCCCAGACUCCUACGGGAGGCAGCAGUGGGGAAUCUUGGACAAUGGGCGCAAGUGAUCCAGCCAUGCCGCGUGAGUGAUGAAGGCCUUAGGGUCGUAAAGCUCUUUCGCCAGGGAUGAUAAUGACAGUACCUGGUAAAGAAACCCCGGCUAACUCCGUGCCAGCAGCCGCGGUAAUACGGAGGGGGUUAGCGUUGUUCGGAAUUACUGGGCGUAAAGCGCACGUAGGCGGAUUGGAAAGUUAGAGGUGAAAUCCCGGGGCUCAACCCCGAACUGCCUUUAAAACUCCCAGUCUAGAGUUCGAGAGAGGUAAGUGGAAUUCCGAGUGUAGAGGUGAAAUUCGUAGAUAUUCGGAGGAACACCAGUGGCGAAGGGGCUUACUGGCUCGAUACUGACGCUGAGGUGCGAAAGUGUGGGGAGCAAACAGGAUUAGAUACCCUGGUAGUCCACACCGUAAACGAUGAAUGCCAGUCGUCGGGUAGCAUGCUAUUCGGUGACACACCUAACGGAUUAAGCAUUCCGCCUGGGGAGUACGGUCGCAAGAUUAAAACUCAAAGGAAUUGACGGGGGCCC
rnacentral:rRNA from 1 species